CAAAAGCCAUGUAAUGAUCAUCACAAGAAUACCACAGCCUGAGUAAGAUGAAUUUGCACUUGAAUGCCCGUAUACUACUCGUGCUCCUUCAACUCCUUGCCUUCUUUCUUCUCCUUCACUUCCCCCUCCUUCUUCUCCUCGUUCACGGCCUCGUCGUCCUUUUCCGGCCACUGAAGGUACAAGCAAGGAUAUCACUAGUACAACAGCGACCAUAACCUUAAACAUUGCUACAACAUUAUGCCUAUUCUUCUUCAUUCUCACAAUAUUGCAAACAAGGAAUUCAAUAAUUGUGAAGAAAGAAAGAUGUGAUAAAAAGAGUAAAAUUCUCGGCAGCUAUAUAUAGACUAUAAACUAUCAGUUUGAUGCCAAAUUUUCGUAACCAUAUACAUAUUAAAGUUCCAAAUUGUAGUAUUAACUAAGGGAACGUUUUAUUUACUUAAAUAUUAACUUUUAUUUCGAUCGCGUAUUAUUAAGUUACGAUAUAUAUAUAGUAUUGUCUUUUCUUUUUCAUACAGGAAAAGGUUUUCAUAUUUCCGUAAAUAAGGAUCCUUCUAUUUUCCCCAUGCAUACAAAUAUCUUCCGCAAUUAAUUUAAGCUACAGGGAAAAAAAGGUACAGUGCGUCCUCCUAUAUCCUAAGAUAUCUAUAUAUUAGUGCAUUUAAGUUAGAGAUACACCAUCAAUAUAAUUUAAUAUAUAUUAUAGCAAAAUUAUUUACCUUGUAUUGUAGAUUACAAUUUAAUGCUAUUAAAUAGAGUUGUAAGCAAAAUUAUCUUGGAUGGGUAAACUAUUUUUAUUGGUGGAAUACAAAUACAAACAUAGCCAAAUAGAACAUGCAGGCUUUCCAGUGUAUUGUGUUGAAUUUUUUUUGGAUUUGACUAAUGUAUUUUUGUCCAAAUUUUGUUUUUGCAUAAAAAAGUGGCUAACUUUUAAUUAGCUGUUGUAAAUCAAACCACUUCUGAAUUUCUUCCUUUAAUUUUAAUUAUUCAAAUGUUAGUUAUUAAGUGUAUUUUUAUUAUUAUUACAACUAGUAAUUGUGUUUGAAUAUAUGUGAAUGACAAAGAUAUAUAACAAAAGUCCUAAUAUUAUUAAGAUUCUAUCGUCCACUUUGACUUGCUAGCCACCAUUACUAUUGCCAUUACCUACAACCACCGCCACCAAACAGCAUCACCACAAACUAUCACCCCAGUUAACAUCAUUGUUAGCCAUCACCUACACCGUUAACCACUAUUGUCAUCCACAAUCACUACUAGCUACUAUUCAAAACUAUGCCGGUACCCAUAUUCACUACUGUUAACUAUCACCAUCACCAAUUACCGUAUUAUUUUGUAAAACAUUUUGUUGAGAUAAAGUUAGAUUAAUUAGUGUUUUAUUUAAGUUUAUAUUUAUUAUUUUUUUAAUUAAGGACAACUUUAGACAUUCAAAUAUUAAGAAAAUAAACAAUCUUAAUUAUUUUGUAUUGAGAUGUUAAAAUACAUUCUACCUUCAGUGGCCGGGCGAGGGGCGGAGGAGGACAUGGUCGAGGAAUAUUCUUUGGAGGAAGGAGAGGUUGGCAUUCAAGUCGGCAUUCAAGUGCUUCAUCUUGCUCUAGGCAUGCUUCAAAACCAAAGUAGAAGUAUGAAUGAAAAUCAUAAGAUGAAGCGAAAUUGUUGAGCAGGAAAACAAGAGACAAACCGCGCGCAUAAAUUAAUCACAGGUUCCAUAAUCAAAACAGCAAAUUAUGAAAAAACAAAAAAGAAAAAAGAAAUUCAGAACAUAACCAGGCAGGAGGAGCUCGAUUGUAGACGCCAUCGGGUCUACCAAGGUUUGAGCCCCUAAUUUAUUUUUCUAUUAAUUGUUUUUCGUGUUUUCCACCUAAGCAGCAUAGAGAGAUGUUUGACUUGAUUACGUGGAAAUAUUCAAAGACUAAUAAACCUGGACUUAACCGUUACGAAUUAACAUAACUGAUUUGCCCGCCAACGAGGGUUGAAGUAGCGGGUGGAAUGGAUAGGAUCUCU
rnacentral:lncRNA from 1 species